rnacentral:rRNA from 1 species
GAUGAACGCUGGCGGCGUGCCUAAUACAUGCAAGUCGAGCGAACGGACGAGAAGCUUGCUUCUCUGAUGUUAGCGGCGGACGGGUGAGUAACACGUGGAUAACCUACCUAUAAGACUGGGAUAACUUCGGGAAACCGGAGCUAAUACCGGAUAAUAUUUUGAACCGCAUGGUUCAAAAGUGAAAGACGGUCUUGCUGUCACUUAUAGAUGGAUCCGCGCUGCAUUAGCUAGUUGGUAAGGUAACGGCUUACCAAGGCAACGAUGCAUAGCCGACCUGAGAGAGUGGUAGCCCACACUGGAGCUGAGACGCGGUCCAGGCGCCUACGGGAGGCAGCAGUAGGCAAUCUGCGGCAAUGGGCGAAAGCCUGACGGAGCAACGCCGAGUGAGUGAUGAAGGUCUUGGGAUCGUAAAACUCUGCUAUUAGGGAAGAACAUAUGUGUAAGUAACUGUGCACAUCGUGACGGUACCUAAUCAGAAAGCCACGGCUAACUACGUG